rnacentral:rRNA from 1 species
CACGCCCUAAACUAUGCCAACUAGGUGUUGGGUGGGUAAAACCAUUUAGUACCGUAGCUAACGCGUGAAGUUGACCGCCUGGGGAGUACGGCCGCAAGGUUAAAACUCAAAGGAAUUGACGGGGACCCGCACAAGCGGUGGAUGAUGUGGAUUAAUUCGAUGCAACGCGAAAAACCUUACCUACCCUUGACAUGCCAGGAACUUGCCAGAGAUGGCUUGGUGCCCGAAAGGGAGCCUGGACACAGGUGCUGCAUGGCUGUCGUCAGCUCGUGUCGUGAGAUGUUGGGUUAAGUCCCGCAACGAGCGCAACCCUUGUCGUUAAUUGCCAUCAUUUGGUUGGGCACUUUAACGAGACUGCCGGUGACAAACCG